rnacentral:misc_RNA from 1 species
GUAUUGUUAUUUGUUCACUCUGCAUUACACAGUGUGUCCGUUACAAACAUUCUCUGACGUGGUUUAAAAAAAAAAGGCGCUACAAACGCAUACAGUUCACAGGAAUGAAAAGGAUUUCGGGUCCGAAGACACCAAAUUCAUUAAUGAUCCUUCCGCAGGUUCACCUACGGAAA